ensembl:snRNA U2 U2 spliceosomal RNA
AUCGCUUCUCUGCCUUUCAAGUGUAGUAUCUGUUCUUAUCAGUUUACUAUCUGAUACGUCCUCGAUAUGAGGACUACACACUAAAUAGAUUUUUAGAACAGGGAGACGGAAGAGGGGCUUGCUUCAUCUGCUCCAUGCAUUGACCUGGUAUUGCAGUACCUCUGGGAACGGUGCACUGCCU